GCCCGGGUUUGUUUUUUGUUCAUGCAUAGUCCUACUUUAUGAUUAUAGUCUGAGUGUUGAUUUUCAUUUGUUCUGGUUUAGCAAUGUUGCAUGUCCACCGAUGUCCAGACAUUGUGCGAGAAAAUAUUUUAAGAAUAUAAGAGGCUACGAUGGACACAGAAUAAAACGGUUCUUUCUGCAUGGAGAAUUAUACAAAACUGGCUUAUUUUGUAAAUAAAACUAGAUCACGAGCUAACAUGGUUUAAAUCAAAGUAAGGUCACCAAUUUCCCGGUAUCAAAUCAUUUGAAAAAAAACAACAACGUAUUGCUAUAUCAUUUAAUAUGACCUUUUACAUUGUAGGGUUAAUUGCAUUAAGUCGUGUUCAGACCCUUUAACAGAAAAUUAAAUAAAUGAAUAUGGAGUGCACGGGACCUAAUCGUACACAAAGUCAAUGCAUAGAAAAAUAAAAAUGAACAGUGGUCAAAGUUUUUAUUCCUGUUCUUC
rnacentral:lncRNA from 1 species